rnacentral:rRNA from 1 species
AGCAGUUUGAUCAUGCGGGCGGCGACCGGCAAACGGGUGCGUAACACGUACGCAACCUUCCCGUUACUGGGGGAUAGCCCAGGGAAACUUGGAUUAAUACCCCAUAUUACAGAGUUCCGGCAUCGGGGCUCUGUCAAAGUUCCGACGGUAACGGAUGGGCGUGCGGUUGAUUAGGUAGUUGGCGGGGUAACGGCCCACCAAGCCUACGAUCAAUAGCUGAUGUGAGAGCAUGAUCAGCCACACGGGCACUGAGACACGGGCCCGACUCCUACGGGAGGCAGCAAUAAGGAAUAUUGGGCAAUGGACGCAAGUCUGACCCAGCCAUGCCGCGUGAAGGAUGAAGGUCCUCUGGAUUGUAAACUUCUUUUAUCUGGGGCGAAAAAAGGCCAUUCUUGGCAGCUUGACGGUACCAGAUGAAUAAGCACCGGCUAACUCCGUGCCAACAGCCGCGGUAAUACGGAGGGUGCAAGCGUUAUCCGGAUUCACUGGGUUUAAAGGGUGCGUAGGUGGGCAGGUAAGUCAGUGGUGAAAUCCUCGGGCUCAACCCGGGAACUGCCGUUGAUACUAUCUGUCUUGAAUGCCAUGGAGGUAAGUGGAAUAUGUCAUGUAGCGGUGAAAUGCUUAGAGAUGA